rnacentral:tRNA from 1 species
GCUCGAGUGGCGGAAUUGGUAUACGCGCAAGAUUAAGGAUCUUGUGGUCUUUCGACCUUGGGGGUUCGAGUCCCCCCUCGAGCA